CGUUUUUUUCUGAAAUAUCUAAGCCCAUUGGGCUUUUGAAUUAAAGCCCUAUUCAUAUUUGUUAUCUAUUAGGGUUUCUAAUAUCCACUAUAAAACGUUGCUACCUUGUCACAUCUUAAUUCAGCUGCUAUCAACUAGGGUUCCGGCAAAUCGAAACACCGUUCACGAUGAGAGCCAAGUGGAAGAAGAAGCGUAUGAGGAGAUUGAAGAGGAAGCGCCGAAAGAUGAGACAGAGAUCUAAGUAGAGCGCCAUUCUCAGUCGAUUUCGGUUUUUUUUUCCUGUUUGUUUCUGUUGUCAGAUGGAACUUUUCAAUAAUUGUCUUUACUUUUGUUCUUGUUUUGAUACAUUGUUGGUUUUACUCCUUAACAAAAUUAGAUUUUGUUUAAACUGUUAUUUCA